CUUAGAGUUUAUAUAUAUUCUGUAUAUAUACAUUAAAAUUAUAUAUAGUUUACCAUUAAUAUUUACUACUGAUGAUUUUUACUUUCUGAUGAACUCAUUGCACAGAUUGUUCUGGUAUGUUUUCAUGACAAAAGAAAUAUUUAUUGCUGCUUUCUUUUCUCUGUUCCAGGAGACAUGCCUUCUCUCCAUUUCCAGGCUCUGUGAAAUAUGUUGCAAGGCCUAUCUGUCUGCAACAGGACAGUGUGAACAUUUCUUGCCAUUCAUUGCUCAUGAAAAGAAGGUACAAAGACUGUGGGGAGUCAAGGUUGACAUCAGAGUCAAGUGACAAUGUGAUGAUCUCAGAGGAGCACCUUUGCAGUUUACAGAGGACCCUGAGCUCAUGACAGGAGACAUCGACAUUUUAAGAGUUGUUUGUCAGUUCCUGAAGGUACAAUGAAUUUUUUUUUUUUUUUUUUUUUUUUGCUGCAGAGAGGUAAAGCAAAAUCCUAUACUGACAUGAAAGCAAUGGAAAAGACUUUUUCUGAGGGCAGCCUCAGUGUCUUCAGUUAUGAUCUAGAGAUGAUAAUAGUACUCCCAUCAUGAAGUUGCUGAGGUUAAUAGGAGAUAAUUUAUGCAAUCUGUUUAGGACCGUGCCUGACACGUUGAUAAAUGGCUUGCAAUUAAUAUUCUAAGUCCGGUGUUCCAUUCACAUUAUAGCAUGCUGCCUUAUAGCAAGAAGAUUUGUUCUUUUAUUGGUGUGGGCACUGUAUGGAUUACCUGAAAAAUGUGAGAGUAAAUGAAGAUGGGGACUGAUGCUCUACAUCAUGAUAUUUAAUUGUGAGCUGACACACUCAUGCUUCAUGUGCAACAGACGGUGAAGGCUGAGAGUGUGAACACAGCACAUUGUUGUAAUCAAAUACAGUAUACAAAAAAGUUGUUAUCUCCCAAUCAGUAUUCAUAAUUGUUACUGUGUGGCAUGGUCAUUGCACAUGAAUGGUAGAUGGUGUAUACACGCACAGGCACUGAAUAUUAUUGCUCUCACCAGCAGAGCAGGCUUUACUUUUCCAGUUGUUGUUCCUGUUUUGUCUUGUAUUUCUAGUGUCAUUGACCUUCAUCCACGUGAGGGAGAUGUGUACAGGGAGAAAGGGACCCUGACUGGGGGACAGCCUAUUUCAUUCUUUAAACUUUAUUUUAAGAAUUUAAAAUUUGUUAGUAGUUGACAUAGCCAUUUUAAAUGAUACAUUUAUUUUCUAAGAAUUUUAUGGUAAAAUACAUUCUUUCUGGAACAGUAUUACUUUUGGCGGGGGAGAAUUUUAUUUUUCAAUUAAUUUUGAUUGGAGUAUAGUUACUAUACAAUGUUGUGUUAGUUUUUGCUGUACAGCAAAGUGAAUCUGCUAUAAGUAUGUAUAUAACCCCUUUUUUUCUUUUUUUGGAUUUCCUUCCCAUUUAGGGCUUUCCUGUAUAUAUCCCCUUUUUUUUCAUUUCCUUUCCAUUUAGGGCUUUCCUGGUGGCUCAGAUGAUAAAGAAUCUGCUUGCAAUGCAGGAAACCUGGGUUUGAUCCCUGGGUCAGAAAGAUCCCCUGGAGACAGGAAUGGCUGCCCACUCUAGUAUUUUUUGCCUUGAGAAUUCUAUGGACAACGGAGCCUGGCAGACUACAGUCCAUGGGGUGGCAAAGAGUCAGACAGGACUGAGCGACUAACACUCUCACUCCUUUCACUCCCAUUUAGGUGACCACAGAGCACUGAGUAGAAAUCUCUGUGCUAUACAGUAGGUCCUUGUGAGUUAUACUUGGUGUUAAUAGUGCAUGGGGGGCAUCUUAGAAGGAAGUAUGGGUAAUGCUUGAGGCCCUGAGUUUUGACAUGGGGGCUUGGCAGUGAGAGAAACUGAUGAGUCUGAAAUCUCUCUCCUCAGUAAUAGACAUCAGGAGCUUCCUGGGGCCCAUCUUAGUCAUCCCUUGCUCAGGACAGCAGAAGCUUGUAGGAAAUAUGCAAAACCUGUGCCUCCCAGGGGUCGUCCCACAGAAACCCCAGACAACUGAGGAAAGGCUGCCUUUCUGCUGAGCCUGAUAGCUUUGUCUGUAUGGCUUGACAUUCCUCUGACUCAGGGUUUUGCAAAGAUGAUCUGCAGGCAAAAUCCAUCCCACUGCCUGUUUCUGUAAAUAAAGUUUUAAGGGAAGACAGGGACUUCCUAGUAGCUCAGCUGGUAAAUAAUCCACCUGCAAUGUGGGAGACCCUGGUUUGAUUCCUGGGUCAGGAAGAUUCCCUGGAGAGGGAAUAGGCUACCCACUCGAGUAUUCUUGGGCUUCCCUAGUGGCUCAGCUGGUAAAGAAUCCGCCUGCAAUGUGGGAGACCUCAGUUCAGUCCCUGGGUUGGGAAGAUCUCUUGGAGAGGGGAACAGCUACCCACUCCAGUAUUCUGACCUGGAGAAUUCCAUGGACUGUAUAGUCCAUGGGGUCACAGAGUCAGACAUGACUGACUUUUACUCACUCAAGGGAAGACAGCCACCACGCCCACUUGUUUUCCUCUUGCCUCUGGCUGUUUUACAGUAAACCACAGAGCAGUAGUCAUGGUAGAACCCCAGAAUGGGCAGACUAUUGUAUUUAACUUUGUCUGGACCUUUAUAGAAAAACUUUGCCAGCCGCUGCUCUAACUCAGUGUAACACUUCUUUUUCACAGAUCAGUCUAGGGAGGCAAAGCAGGAGAGGGUGGAGAAUGGGCAUGCUCAAGUCAGAUGAAGCAAAGGCUGCAGCUCUUCUUGCUGUAUGGCAUUAGGUCCCCAUUUCCUCCUCUGUAAGGCAGGAAAAAUGUGCCAUUUCAUAACGGGGAAAAUCAACAUGAUAAUGCAUGCAAGGUGCUUGCUGGUACCUGGAAUUUAGUAAGCACUCAAUGCAUAUGGGGCUUCCCAGGUGGCAGUAAUGGUAAAGAACCUUCCUGCCAGUGCAGAAGACAUGAGAGACAUGGGUUUGAUCCCUGGGUUGGGGAGAUUUGCCGGGGUCCAGCCCCAGUGGAUCCAGGGAAUUUGAAGGGGAGACUGUGUCGGCGAGGAGAGAUUUAUUUAUUUAGAGAUAUAAAGAGAGAUUAGGAAAGAAUAACGUAGUGAGAAAAAAAGGAGAAAAGAGGCUGAUAUUCCUUGGUUUACACGGAAAGCUAAUAAAGUCUCAAGACAAGAGACUUGCUCUGUCCACGUAGGCCACAGGCGCCCACUUGAAUAGCGGAGAGUGCCCUGCCUUGGGCUCCCUCUUGCAUGGGUCUUAGAAGCCUGGGCAGAAAAGUGAAUGCAAAGAGCCUCUGUGUUCCAAGGGAUCAACCUGAAAAAGAGAGGGAGGGAGAGGGAGAAAGAGAGAGAGAGAGAGUUGACACGGGGGAGGCCAAGCUUGUGCAAAAACCCCAUGACUUUAUUUUCCAAAGGUGUUUAUAUACCCUAAGUUUUACAUAAUGGAAGAUGCAGAGCCAUGCAGGGACAGCAGUCCUGACCCUUAUGGAUACCAGGCUUUCUUUCUGCAUAUCUUUCCAUACACAAAAGGUCUCAGGUGAUUUACAUUAUCUUCUGGCCAAGAGGCCUGAUAACAUUUUAUGGCUCUCUUCCUUGAUGAAUGUUAAUCUCAUUUUCCCUUAAGUGUUUUUCUUUAAUCUGCAUCACCCUCAAAGUACUAAAUAAAGUUACAUCCUUAUAGAACAAAGGUGCAGUGGGUUACAAGAAAGAAAGUACUUAACCCAAAGAUCUAUGUUGCUACUUGUUUUUUCUAUAUACCAACUAUAUUAAUUAAUGCACUCCCAGGUACACAACAAAUAAAGGAUAUGAAAACUUGGCAGCAAGUAUUGGCUCAACAAUGAAACCCUUAAUCAGUUCUAUUCUAAUGAUUUUUAACUCCUCAAAAGGCUCUACAUUUCUAGAAUUUUUAAGCCUCCU
rnacentral:lncRNA from 1 species